UGGGGAAUAUUGCACAAUGGGCGCAAGCCUGGUGCAGCAACGCCGCGUGAAGGAAGACGGUUUUCGGAUUGUAAACUUCUGUUCUUAGUGAAGAAGAAUGACGGUAGCUAAGGAGCAAGCCACGGCUAACUACGUGCCAGCAGCCGCGGUAAUACGUAGGUGGCAAGCGUUGUCCGGAAUUACUGGGUGUAAAGGGAGCGCAGGCGGGGGAACAAGUCAGUUGUGAAAUCCAUGGGCUUAACCCGUGAACUGCAGUUGAAACUGUUCUUCUUGAGUGAAGUAGAGGUUGGCGGAAUUCCGAGUGUAGCGGUGAAAUGCGUAGAUAUUCGGAGGAACACCGGUGGCGAAGGCGGCCAACUGGGCUUUUACUGACGCUGAGGCUCGAAAGUGUGGGGAGCAAACAGGAUUAGAUACCC
rnacentral:rRNA from 1 species